UACGUAGGGGGCAAGCGUUGUCCGGAUUUAUUGGGCGUAAAGAGCGUGUAGGCGGCCAGGUAGGUCCGUUGUGAAAACUCGAGGCUCAACCUCGAGACGUCGGCGGAAACCCUCUGGCUAGAGUCCGGAAGAGGAGAGUGGAAUUCCUGGUGUAGCGGUGAAAUGCGCAGAUAUCAGGAAGAACACCCGGUGGCGAAGGCGG
rnacentral:rRNA from 1 species